AGUGAACGCUGGCGGUAGGCCUAACACAUGCAAGUCGAACGGCAGCACAGGAGAGCUUGCUCUCUGGGUGGCGAGUGGCGGACGGGUGAGGAAUACAUCGGAAUCUACUCUGUCGUGGGGGAUAACGUAGGGAAACUUACGCUAAUACCGCAUACGACCUACGGGUGAAAGCAGGGGACCUUCGGGCCUUGCGCGAUUGAAUGAGCCGAUGUCGGAUUGGCUAGUUGGCGGGGUAAAGGCCCACCAAGGCGACGAUCCGUAGCUGGUCUGAGAGUAUGAUCGGCCACACUGGAACUGAGACACGGUCCAGACUCCUACGGGAGGCAGCAGUGGGGAAUAUUGGACAAUGGGCGCAAGCCUGAUCCAGCCAUACCGCGUGGGUGAAGAAGGCCUUCGGGUUGUAAAGCCCUUUUGUUGGGAAAGAAAUCCAGCUGGCUAAUACCCGGUUGGGAUGACGGUACCCAAAGAAUAAGCACCGGCUAACUUCGUGCCAGCAGCCGCUGUAA
rnacentral:rRNA from 1 species